CCAAAUGGAUGCAGACUUGACUUGGAGCCAAUCUCAUUAGACUGUUUUCCACCUCCAGCACUCGUCCAGCUCAUCGAAUCAUGAUCAGUUACUGAAAACUAAUCUUGUUUUCUCUUCAGACUCUCGGGAUACUGGGAUUAAUGGGAAUUGCCAUUUUCAUCUCUGUGGAAACGAUGCUGAUGAUGGUAACCACGACUACAGCUACAUCCAGCAGAUUCUAACUAAACACACAUCUUUGUCAUGUAACAUUUAAGGCACUCACAAUUUGCAACAUGCAAAUGCAAAUUAGGAAAUUAAAUUCUCUCUCAUU